rnacentral:lncRNA from 1 species
CUUUUUCAUAGCCAUUCUGCGACUCUGCUAAGGAACAAGCUAAUUAUAUUUGGAGGCCAAAGGACUUCUGUUUACCUGAAUGACACACACAUUUUAGAUCUGGGUUUCAUGGAGUACANGUCAGUUCCAUAUCUCCCUGGUCAGCCACCUGCUCGCAGUUUCCAUGCUGCUAUUCCAAUUUCUGACCAUCAAGUGUUGAUAAGUGGUGGCUGCAAUGCUAAAGGAGCCUUUCAGGAUGCAUUCACUUUUCAUCUUGGUAAAAUGCUUUCUUCUUGUAUACUUAAUUGCUAAGAGAACUUCCUGAAGCCAUGGAAUAUUACUAAAAUCCACCAUCCUUUCCAUUGNAGAUACGUUAACCUGGAGUACAGUAAAGCAUGGCGACCUUUGCUCAGUGCCGCGAGCAGGCCACACAUUACUCAACUUGACCUGCACUCAGCAGAAGGACACAGAUAAGGAAAAGUGGAGCAAACACAACCUGUGCACGGUGCUGAUAUUUGGAGGAUCAGACUGUGCUGGCAAGUUCUACAAUAGUACAAAGAAAUUUCAACUGGACCUUGAGGAGGGGGUAAAGGCCUCUCAGAAUCUAGGCUGAGCUGCUGGCAGUUCUGGGUCAGGAUCAAGAGAGGCAAGAGCACAAAAACACUGAAUAAUGAAAAAAUUUAAUCAGUGUGAACUGAGGCUCUUAAAGUAUCUCUCCCUGGGUAGUUUCAUCCCUAACAGACAGAAUUGGUUAUCAGAACUUCACUUUCAUUAAGAUUUUUAAUUCAUCUUGCUACCUUUCAGUUCCUCACUGUCCUUCCAUCUUUGUCAUAUUGAAGUCAUGGAUCUUGGAAACNGUAGGCCUGUGAUCUAGGCAUAUUACAGUGUGCAAUAUUCUGUUUUGGAUUUGGUGACUCUUCAGCUGAAUCCUAAGGACUUAUAAUAUUCACUUUUUAAUUGAUUGCAUUACUGGGAAGGAACAUUUUUGAAAAUAAUAGAACUAGAUUGGUUUUCAGCUACUUGAUAUGAAGCUGUCAUACAAUUAGCUUGCAUCUGGAUUUAGCAAGCACUCAGUAGCUUUCUUUCCUGCUUCUAUUUCCCCCACUAUAUUAUUGAAGGUAAACAUAUUGUAUUGUGUUUUUAACUUCCUUGUCAGUUUGACUGAGCCAUCUACUUCUUCUACCACAUGCAAACAUUUUCUUAAGAAAACAUAAAUCUACUUAUAUAAUAAAAUGCUAUAUAUGAAAAC